CAGGCCGUGAUGAUUGGCGCAGGGGUACGGACCUCAGCUGAGUCAUGGGAGCUGAGUGUGUGUGCUUUGCCUCCGUCUGCACGUGGCAGGCUGAUGACACGCACUUACACGAGACUUGCCUCGAUCUGAGCCUG
ensembl:snoRNA SNORD94 small nucleolar RNA, C/D box 94